GACGAACGCUGGCGGCGUGCCUAAUACAUGCAAGUCGAACGCUGAAGGAGGAGCUUGCUCUUCUGGAUGAGUUGCGAACGGGUGAGUAACGCGUAGGUAACCUGCCUUGUAGCGGGGGAUAACUAUUGGAAACGAUAGCUAAUACCGCAUAACAGUAGAUGUUGCAUGACAUUUGCUUAAAAGGUGCACUUGCCCCACUACCAGAUGGCCCUGCGUUGUAUUAGCUAGGUGGUGGGGUAACGGCACACCAAGGCGACGAUACCUAGCCGACCUGGGAGGGUUGACGGCCACACUGGGACGGGGACACGGCCCAGACCCCUACGGGAGGCAGCAGGAGGGAAUCUUCGGCAAUGGACGGAAGGCUGACCGAGCAACGCCGCGUGAGGGAAGAAGGGUUUCGGAUCGGAAAGCUCUGUUGUAAGAGAAGAACGAGUGUGAGAGUGGAAAGUUCACACUGUGACGGUAGCUUACCAGAAAGGGACGGCUAACUACGUG
rnacentral:rRNA from 1 species